rnacentral:rRNA from 1 species
CCUACGGGGGGCUGCAGUGGGGAAUAUUGGACAAUGGGGGGAACCCUGAUCCAGCCAUGCCGCGUGUGUGAAGAAGGCCCUCGGGUUGUAAAGCACUUUCAGUGAGGAAGAACGCCUGGUGGUUAAUACCCAUCAGGAAAGACAUCACUCACAGAAGAAGCACCGGCUAACUCCGUGCCAACAGCCGCGGUAAUACGGAGGGUGCGAGCGUUAAUCGGAAUUACUGGGCGUAAAGCGCGCGUAGGUGGCUUGAUAAGCCGGUUGUGAAAGCCCCGGGCUCAACCUGGGAACGGCAUCCGGAACUGUCAAGCUAGAGUGCAGGAGAGGAAGGUAGAAUUCCCGGUGUAGCGGUGAAAUGCGUAGAGAUCGGGAGGAAUACCAGUGGCGAAGGCGGCCUUCUGGACUGACACUGACACUGAGGUGCGAAAGCGUGGGUAGCAAACAGGAUUAGAUACCCGGGUAGUC